GCCAGUUUCCAGUUUCUCUGUGAUAUCACAAGCUGUUUAUUCAAGAAUGGAGUUAUAAAGUACGAUUUUAAAUCUAAGUAUUUUAAGUAUUAACAGGAACUUGUGUGUCAUUCUUUAUAAAGAAACAAUUGUAAUCCCUGACAAAUUGCUGUGGUACAUGAGGACUGAAACAGAGUGGGACAUGCUGUUACUGGAAAAUAAUCAGCUUCAGGGUGGUAACAGUUACUCCACUUUGCGUCAGGUCGCAUCACACCACCCUGUCAUUGUACAAUUUGUUUUAUAUUUUACUUAUUGUGGAAACCAAUCUUAUCAUAAACACACACCCAAGGUCAGUGUUAUAUCCCUGACAAACGCACACAUUACAUGCUGUAUAACUGGCCAGUUCACUUUUACAUUUCCUGUCUAGUCUUACUGACAUACCAACAAUAUACUCUUAUGCACCAAAUGUUUUAGUGUUAUCUUUAUUAUAUUUUAUUUACUUCCUCUCAUAGAGCUCCAAGACAGACAGCUCCUUUCUCACUCAGGUGAAUGCUUGAAGUGAACAAUGCUGGUCAUGUGACCAACUACACGUAAAAAAUGGUCACAUGACCUAAAAUUAGCUUUAUCUCAUCUUAUAAAUUAAUAAAUAAAUAUAUAAAACAACUUUAAAGCUUUACAGAAUAAAAACAAAGGUUUCAGUCUAAAUUGUGCCUAAAAUGGAUGUAUGGAGCCUUUGGUGUGGAAGUGUGAACUUUUGGAUGAAGCUUACUUUUGUAAUAUCGCGCGCGAUCACAAGAUGGCGCCAAAACGCUGCACUCUGAUUAGCCUCAAACACAAAUAAACAUGCAGUGCUGCGAGAUAUGGCUGCUUCACAGAAGGCCUGUCGCACACCUGGGAAAUGUAUGAUAAUGUCUGAUUGGACGGGAGGGGUUCCUCAGCUCUCCUCCCUGCAUGCACUGCGCCUGAGUUAUAGCCACGGAGGCCACCUCACUGUUUGGUGGUGUGUAAUUUGAAUACAGAUUAGUUGGCCCCAGUGUUCCAGUGCUUUGGCAUUACCAUUACCGGGGACAGUAAUUUGACUGAUGAACACACAGGUUAUCACAAGGUCAUCACCUUCACCAAUGCAGGAGGGGAAAAGUGCGUGGGCCGACCCUCUUUUGGCGCCACCCGUUAAGCCUUUCGAUAGCGUAAUUAGUACCUUUAAUUAAAGGGCUAACAUCAGGCGACAUCCAUGCUGCACUGGUUUGAAGAUUACUGCUCUCACUGAUCCUGCUGUCACAUCAAAGUGAGCACUUCAUUCGCCUUGUAUGCACGCCAGAUCUAUUUUGCUUUCAUAAUGGGCUGAUAUUACCGCUGCACAAAGAGGAUGAAGACAUCAGUGUGAUAGAUAGGCAAAAGAUUAAAUGGGAUCUUUAUGACUUCUUUGAUCAUCAGUUUUGACUACAUGAUCAGAUGAGCCAAGUUGGGUGCUGAUUUGUUCUUUAUUAGACGCAAACAUUAGCCAGAGUCACCCAAGCUUGGGCUGAUGCUCCUCAUUUAAGGUGGAACUUGACAGUUGGCCCCUUCGUCUUAUUUAUGGAAUGGAAAAUAAGCACAUGCCUUUUAACAAUGCUUCAACAACACUGUUGUUGACUGUGUGAAUGCAGAAAAAAUCUUAGGCUCCACAAAGUAGACUGUGCUGAAAUGUUAUAUGGUAUGUAUUUUUAUCAUUUUAGAAUAGAAAUAUUAUAUAGAAUGUAAUCAUAUAUUAAGGAAGAUAGUAUAAUAGUAUUACGGGUAAAAUAAAUAUACAAUUUAUUGUUUUAUGUUUCAUGUCACUCUGUUCUUUUAGAUAGACUACUUUCACAAUUUGCAUUUUCAAAUAGUUGAUUAAAAGCUGAGGAUGUCUAGGAUUAAGAUUGAUUUAAAUAUUAUUUAGCACUAAUCCUAGCACCAUUCACUUCCUUCUCAUGUUAACCUAGAAAAACAAGGCGUCUAAUGGGAGGGCCUAUGGCUCAUUCUGCACACAGCCACACAAACACAUUAACCCAGUCUCCUAUACACACCAAGCACACAUUCCCUCAAACAGAAUUUGAAAAUCCACCUUAAAAUGGGCUGGAUAAAUGAGAUUUUUUCCUGCUAUGCAUAUCAAAGCUUGGGCACUCAGCACUGACAGAUACUAAUGUCUGAAUCAGCGUCCCAAACCAAACUGGGCCGUUGCUCUUGUUGGCCGUCGAAAUGUCACCUGUUCCCAUUCAGCGAUUUGCAUAAUGCAAAGUUUCUCACUCGUAAAAUACAGAUUAAGAGGGGAGAUGGGGAGCCAUUCGUAAAGCAGAGUCAUUUCAGAGCCUUAGCCCCUAGUGAUUAACUCACUCACUACCAUGGCCGCUGAAAUGUUAACUCUAAAGUAUUAAUUACAUGCCUACAAACCAGUCGGCCGUGCCAUAAUGACCUCUGCUUGCCGGAGUGCAUGAGUGCAUGUGUCAUAAUCACAGUGUGAAAUAGCGCAGCACAUGAGUACUACCUGCUCUGAAUGGUGCUGGUGUUUCAUGAAAGGUCUUUAAGAGAGUCUGUGGUGAAAUCUGUAAUUCUACUUUGAGGGUUUUUUGUUUGUUUUGCUCAAAUGCAUGUAGAGAACAAAGAGAGCUGCACAGUGCCCAAAAUGUGAUAUCUUGUCACUUGACAAAUGUAAAGGAGAACCUUUGCUCCUGGAUCUGCAAAUGGAUAUUUUUAUCUCAGAAAUCCCUUCCUCGUUCUUUAUUAUGCGAUUUAGGAUAGAGUUAGG